CCAGAUAUCCCACCUGAGUAAUGUCAUUAUGAAUUUUAAUUUCAAUUUUUUUUUUUAAUUCAGAAACAAAUGCUAGAAUCUGGUAAUAGCCAAGAAAGAUAAAAAUUAAGAUCAGCAAUCAAGAAUGAAUGCAAUUUAGAGAUACACAGGCACAGCUAGACUGACCUUAUUGAUCAUAGAAUGUAAAUAAACCUGAUGCUUUGGGCUGAAGACUUUGAAUUUUUAGAAGGAGAAACUGUGCAAGGUUGGAUGGAUAGUUAUAUAGGUCAUUUGUGCAUUGAAGCCAAUGGCCUUUAUUUUUCUCUUCUUUUUCUCUUUUAAUUGGAGAGCGUAGCAUUAUUGGCCAUUUUCUUAGUGCUUUAAAAUUUUAGCAGAGUCUGAUAGGGAAUUGCCUGGGUUUAUCAUCAGAAAUGGAUAGUCUGGAUGCUUCUGUUGAUCAGUAUGUUUAUUUGAUGCAGUGCAACCCUUAUUUUUGAGGUGG
rnacentral:misc_RNA from 1 species